rnacentral:rRNA from 1 species
GAUGAACGCUGGCGGCGUGCCUAAUACAUGCAAGUCGAGCGAACAGACGAGGAGCUUGCUCCUCUGACGUUAGCGGCGGGCGGGUGAGUAACACGUGGAUAACCUACCUAUAAGACUGGGAUAACUUCGGGAAACCGGAUCUAAUACCGGAUAAUAUAUUGAACCGCAUGGUUCAAUAGUGAAAGAUGGUUUUGCUGUCACUUAUAGAUGGAUCCGCGCCGCAUUAGCUAGUUGGUAAGGUAACGGCUUACCAAGGCAACGAUGCGUAGCCGACCUGAGAGAGUGAUCGGCCACACGGGAGCUGAGACACGGUCCAGACUCCUACGGGAGGCAGCAGUAGGGAAUCUUACGCAAUGGGCGAAAGCCUGACGGAGCAACGCCGCGUGAGUGAUGAAGGUCUUCGGAUCGUAAAACUCUGUUAUUAGGGAAGAACAAAUGUGUAAGUAACUAUGCACGGCUUGACGGUACCGAAUCAGAAAGCCACGGCUAACUACGUG